ensembl:lincRNA G730013B05Rik RIKEN cDNA G730013B05 gene
CAUUUCUUUCUUAUUUUCCCGGCGUCUUAAUUAUCACCAGCGGGAUGGACAGGAAGAAAAGUCUGGAAGACACAUUUAGGAACUUUGUCAUCGAUGCAGUUGUUUCCUGAUAACGGAUGGAGUGCCUGCUGUAUUGAGAUUAUGGGUGUGGGCCACAGUGCCCAGCCAGAUGUAUCUUCUAAUCCACCAAGGGAAUCUGAACUGUUAAUUAAUUGUUAAUUGUUAAAACAUUGCUGGGCAAAAUAGCCCCGACAUGCCGCUUGAAGCACCUGGGCAGCUCAGACAUGAACUUCCUAAACCAUGAAAAACAAGACAACAAAGAGGAUGGAAGACAGGGAGGAAAAAGUCAUCAAAGGAAAGCAGCGAGAAACCGAGAAACUGGUGUGUACUGGAUCAGAGUGAAUAAGCAGAUGUGGUUGGAAGCAUACUAUUGAUGAAAAUCACCUCAGCUAAUAGACGUAGCUCAACCAAAACAUUGGCUUACACAAUUUGCUGGAAUUCUCUGUCUUCCACUAGCGGGCUUCAGCAGAAGAUCUGAACUCUCAGCUCUGCACCAUGCCUGCCUGGAUGCUGCCAUGCUGCCACCUUGAUGAUAAUGGACUGAACCUCUGAACCUGUAAGCCAGCCCCAAUUACAUGUUGUCCUUAUAAGAGUUGCCUUGGUCAUGGUGUCUGUUCACAGCAGUGAAACCCUAGCUAAGAGAGUGAAUUCAGAUGUAGAAAUCUCCUUCAUCAGCAUCAUGUCUGCCUGCACGCUGCCGUGCUUUCCUCCGUGAUGACACGGAUUGAUCCUCUGAAACUGUAAACCAGCCCCAAUCAAACGCUUUUUAAUACAAGAGUUGCCAUGGUAAUGUGUUUCUUCAUAGCAAUAGGUCGCUAAGACCAGUGGUGUCUUGUUUUCCUGGUUAUUCAUGUUUCUUAGAGUCUUUUGUAGUUAUCUGUACAUUUGCACAAGAGAUUCUUUCCUCCAGGGUUUAUCAACUAUCUCUGACAUAGUGAUUAACUUUACCUCUGAGCUGGGGUGCAUUAAAGCAUACUUUGACUCUAAACCUAGUGAGCCAGGGCACGUGUGGAGGCUUUCAGUUCAGAGGGUAAUGAAUGUGUCUAUCAGCUCACACAGCUGGUAUCCAAAGUGUUGACAACUUGGCAGUCCUAUGCUGCGAGGACUGUUAGGGAUCCAGUGGCAAGGGCAGCAAUGGAGACAUGGGACACUCAGAUGCGUACACUUGGCCUCAAAGGCCAGCUGCAGGUAUCUGCUGGGUGACAAGUUUGGUGGCAGGCAAGUGCACAGCGGGAAAGUUUAGAGCACGAGAGGCUCAGAAGCCAUAGCUUGUAAAGGCAAAUAAAGACUCUUGGCUACAGAUUAAUGGAGUCCUCUUUGGAGCAAUGUUUUAAUUCUGUCACAUUAAAUAUUGUGAGUCCUCAGUGGUGAAAGUGUGAGGAGUUUGCAGCAGCUCCUGGGUCUGUUAAGUUUCCAGCAAAGAUGGCUCCAGAGUCCUCUUCUGAGGAGACUCUAAGGACAGCCAAGUCACAUACUCUAUUGCUGUCUCUUUUGCUCCGAGCUAUUUCCAGAUGCAUACUAUGCCAUUCUUCCUUAGUGAUCUGGGGAGAUCACCAGGCGAGUCUUUGAAAAGGUGUUCUGAAAGUUUGUGGGAUAUGGCUGUUCACCCAGCCUUUCUUUUUCUUAAGAGGGCAGUUCAUGGGCUGGUUAGUUUCUUCUCAGCCAGGGUAGUGAUGGGUUGGGGAGAGGUGUGUGAGUCAGGCAAAAUGAACCAUUUGCCCAUUGUUUUGAGGCAUUUUACUUGGGCGUUCUUCCUCCACCGUAUGCCUAUAUCUUUUACAAUGAUCACCCCCCAGUACUUCCAGAGAUAUUUACCUUCCUCGAUAGUUCAUUUGGUGGGGAGGGAGGAUGUUGUAAAAUCUGAUAUCUUACUCCAAUGUAUUGCUGUCAUCGAUUGCUACUGCCUGAUUGGAAAGCGUGACUCUAAAUCCCAGCCCUGCCUAUAACUCCAGUUUCAGUGAGUUUGGCACCCUCUCUUGGUCUUUAAAGCUCUUGCACAUACUCUCUUGUACACGUGCUCAUAAACUCAUGCAGGCUCGAACAGGUUCACAUAACUG